GGCCAGGAUUCCAACCACCCCAGCUUGUCUGCCCACGUGCUUCCCGGGGAUCCGGAACUGGUCCCGAGCAGCGGGGGCGGGGCGGGAGUGACUCCUGGGGAGGAGGAGGAAGGGAGGAGGCUCGCCACGUCGCCGGCCCGGCCCAGACUCCAGACUGCGCUCCGCCCAGCCCUCCAGGACCUCCCCAUAGAAGCAUGACCUGGCUCUUCCUACUGAGGCACCUGCCUCCUCGGUGAACGUGAAGAUGAAAGGAGGUCAUGUGGUCUUCUUGGUGGGAAGGCUCCAGGAUGAAGGAGAGAGGUGUCAAGAAACCUGGUCUCGGGUUUGUCCCUGUCUCUGUGUGACUUCUUGGGGUCUGCAGGCAGACUGGGAAGCCAUAAAGCAAAAGCACUGGAUUUGGAGCAAGAGAGGACACUGAAUCCAGUUCUGCCACAGUUUAGGUCUGGAAACCGUGCCUCCUCCACACAACAAAGCUGAAAUCGAGGUUACCUGUCCUGGAGCAAUUACUGCAUGUCAGGGACGAGGAUAGGUAAGUGCAGGGUCAUUUAGAGAAGAGCGUCAUAUCAUCCCUUGCCACCAUGGAGCUCACAAGUAACCAAGAUUCUCUAAGUUCGGUGUCAUCUCCAGACCCUCUGUCUGAGUCACCUUGAUUCCUGGGCCUGGACCGCAGACUUAUUGAAUCACAAUUCCUGGAGGAGAGGCCUCAGGUCAUGCAUUUUCACCAGUUCUUCUGAUUAAUCUCUUUUUCAUUAAGUUUAUUGAUGUGAU